rnacentral:rRNA from 1 species
UGCGCAGGCGGGCUAUUAAGUCAGUGGUGAAAUCUCUCGGCUCAACCGAGAAACUGCCAUUGAAACUGAUAGUCUUGAGUAUGGUUGUGGUAGGCGGAAUAUAGCAUGUAGCGGUGAAAUGCUUAGAUAUGCUAUAGAACACCUAUCGCGAAGGCAGCUUACCAAGCCAUUACUGACGCUCAUGCACGAAAGCGUGGGGAGCAAACAGGAUUAGAUACCCUGGUAGUCC